rnacentral:rRNA from 1 species
AUGAACGCUGGCGGCGUGCUUAACACAUGCAAGUCGAACGAUGAAGCCCAGCUUGCUGGGUGGAUUAGUGGCGAACGGGUGAGUAACACGUGAGUAACCUGCCCUUGACUCUGGGAUAAGCGCUGGAAACGGCGUCUAAUACCGGAUACGAGCUUCCACCGCAUGGUGAGUUGCUGGAAAGAAUUUCGGUCAAGGAUGGACUCGCGGCCUAUCAGGUAGUUGGUGAGGUAACGGCUCACCAAGCCGACGACGGGUAGCCGGCCUGAGAGGGUGACCGGCCACACUGGGACUGAGACACGGCCCAGACUCCUACGGGAGGCAGCAGUGGGGAAUAUUGCACAAUGGGCGCAAGCCUGAUGCAGCAACGCCGCGUGAGGGACGAAGGCCUUCGGGUCGUAAACCUCUUUUAGCAGGGAAGAAGCGAAAGUGACGGUACCUGCAGAAAAAGCACCGGCUAACUACGU